UACGAAGGGGGCUAGCGUUGCUCGGAAUCACUGGGCGUAAAGGGUGCGUAGGCGGGUCUUAAGUCAGGGGUGAAAUCCUGGAGCUCAACUCCAGAACUGCCUUUGAUACUGAGGAUCUUGAGUUCGGGAGAGGUGAGUGGAACUGCGAGUGUAGAGGUGAAAUUCGUAGAUAUUCACAAGAACACCAGUGGCGAAGGCGGCUCACUGGCCCGAUACUGACGCUGAGGCACGAAAGCGUGGGGAGCAACAGGG
rnacentral:rRNA from 1 species